GAUGAACGCUGGCGGCGUGCGUAACACAUGCAAGUCGAACGGUGAAGCAGAGCUUGCUCUGUGGAUCAGUGGCGAACGGGUGAGUAACACGUGAGCAACCUGCCCCUGACUCUGGGAUAAGCGCUGGAAACGGCGUCUAAUACUGGAUAUGAGCUGCGACCGCAUGGUCAGCAGUUGGAAAGAUUUUUCGGUCUGGGAUAGGCUCACGGCCUAUCAGCUUGUUGGUGAGGUAAUGGCUCACCAAGGCGUCGACGGGUAGCCGGCCUGAGAGGGUGACCGGCCACACUGGGACUGAGACACGGCCCAGACUCCUACGGGAGGCAGCAGUGGGGAAUAUUGCACAAUGGGCGAAAGCCUGAUGCAGCAACGCCGCGUGAGGGAUGACGGCCUUCGGGUUGUAAACCUCUUUUAGCAGGGAAGAAGCGAAAGUGACGGUACCUGCAGAAAAAGCGCCGGCUAACUACGUG
rnacentral:rRNA from 1 species